rnacentral:tRNA from 1 species
GGAAGCGUGGCAGAGUCCGGCUUAUUGCAACACUCUUGAAAAGUGUCGGCGGUUAACCCCGUCCAUCCGUUCGAAUCGGAUCGCUUCCGCCA